GUUCACCAAGAUGAAAGAUUUCAGAGGAAGCAGACAAACUAUGAGGCAAGUUUUUACAUUUAUACACAUUAUAUUAAAGGAUGGUGAUGAUCACUUAUCAAAGGAGCAGUUCAGAGUGGUUAGUGAUAUUGACAUGAGCUAAAUACCGGAAAGAAAACAUGCUCUCCAGAUGUUAUAUAUCUACAGCUUUCAGUAAUAGAUUUCUCCUUCUCUGACCCACCGAGGCCCCUCAAAUCUCCAGGAUCCACUAAUCUCUCAGUUUUUCACAAUGGCUUCCGUUCCCUUAAUUUUCGGGAAAAUAAAAAAUUAAGAAGAAAUGUGUCGUCUUCCUCACAACAUCGUUCGGAGAAAUACAGUAACUGAGAGACCUACUAAGAGUCAGAACUGGAUGAAAAUAGACAUCGUGGCUCCAAGUGUGGUGGUACAUCUCCGUAAUCUCAUCAUUCAGGAGGCUGAGGCAAGAGUAUUGUCAUGACUUUGAGGAUACGCUUUGAGUUGAAGGACAGCGCGAACAAUAUAGUGUGGCACCAUCCUUAAACAAAA
rnacentral:lncRNA from 1 species